rnacentral:rRNA from 1 species
AGAGUUUGAUCAUGGCUCAGGAUGAACGCUAGCGACAGGCAUAACACAUGCAAGUCGAGGGGCAGCGGGCGAGUGGCAACACUUGCUGUCGGCGACCGGCGCACUGGUGAGUAACACGUAUGCAACCUGCCCCCUUCUGGGAGAUAACCCAUAGAAAUGUGGCCUAAUAUCCCAUAGUCGGCCCAGCCGCAUGGCCGGGCCGGGAAAGGCGAGCCGGAAGGGGAUGGGCAUGCGGCGCAUUAGCUAGUUGGCGGGGCAGAGGCCCACCAAGGCGACGAUGCGUAGGGGUUCUGAGAGGAAGGUCCCCCACAUUGGUACUGAGACACGGACCAAACUCCUACGGGAGGCAGCAGUGUUGAAUAUUGGUCAAUGGGCGGGAGCCUGAACCAGCCAAGUCGCGUGAGGGAGGAAGUUCCUACGGAUUGUAAACCUCUUUAGCCGGGGAGCAACGUGCGCCACGCGUGGCGCAGUGAGAGUACCCGGAGAAUAAGCAUCGGCUAACUCCGUGCCAGCGGCCGCGGUAAUACGGAGGAUGCGAGCGUUAUCCGGAUUUAUUGGGUUUAAAGGGUGCGCAGGCGGCGCGAAAAGUCAGCGGUCAAAGUUCCGGGCUCAACCCGGUGACGCCGUUGAAACUUUCGAGCUGGAGUUCGUGCGAGGGAGGCGGAAUGCGUUGUGUAGCGGGUGAAAUGCAUAGAUAUGACGCAGAACCCCGAUUGCGAAGGCAGCUUUCCAGCACGCGACUGACGCUGAGGCACGAAAGCGUGGGGAGCGAACAGGAUUAGAUACCCUGGUAGUCCACGCGGUAAACGAUGAAUACUAGCCCUGCGGCGCGAUUGGGUGCUGCGGGGCAGAGUGAAAACGUUAAGUAUUCCACCUGGGGAGUACGCCGGCAACGGUGAAACUCAAAGGAAUUGACGGGGGCCCGCACAAGCGGAGGAACAUGUGGUUUAAUUCGAUGAUACGCGAGGAACCUUACCCGGGCUCAAACGGCGGGAGACGCGUCCGGAAACGGGCGUUCCCUUCGGGGCUGCCGCCGAGGUGCUGCAUGGUUGUCGUCAGCUCGUGCCGUGAGGUGUCGGCUUAAGUGCCAUAACGAGCGCAACCCCCAUCUUCAGUUGCCAACGGGCAAAGCCGGGCACUCUGGAGAGACUGCCAGCGCAAGCUGUGAGGAAGGCGGGGAUGACGUCAAAUCAGCACGGCCCUUACGUCCGGGGCGACACACGUGUUACAAUGGCAGGGUCACAGAGGGAAGCCAGGCGGCGACGCCGAGCCGAUCCCGAAAACCUGUCUCAGUUCGGAUCGGAGUCUGCAACCCGACUCCGUGAAGCUGGAUUCGCUAGUAAUCGCGCAUCAGCCAUGGCGCGGUGAGUACGUUCCCGGGCCUUGUACACACCGCCCGUCAAGCCAUGGAAGCCUGGAGUGCCUGAAGCUCUCCUUUGUUCACGCGAGGAGCGACCAAGGGUAAGACAGGUAACUGGGCCUUAUCGUAACAAGGUAACCGUA